rnacentral:ncRNA from 1 species
GGUUCGGGAGCCACCCUUCGGGACGGGCGGCACGAAUGGAACCCACGCGGCCCUUCGCAGGCGGCACGACCCCAUGGCCCGAUUGGGGGACGUG